rnacentral:rRNA from 1 species
AUUGAACGCUGGCGGCAGGCUUAACACAUGCAAGUCGAGCGGAGUGAUGGUGCUUGCACUAUCACUUAGCGGCGGACGGGUGAGUAAUGCUUAGGAAUCUGCCUAUUAGUGGGGGACAACAUCUCGAAAGGGAUGCUAAUACCGCAUACGUCCUACGGGAGAAAGCAGGGGAUCACUUGUGACCUUGCGCUAAUAGAUGAGCCUAAGUCGGAUUAGCUAGUUGGUGGGGUAAAGGCCUACCAAGGCGACGAUCUGUAGCGGGUCUGAGAGGAUGAUCCGCCACGCUGGGACUGAGAAACGGCCCAGACGCCUACGGGAGGCAGCAGUGGGGAAUGUUGGACAAUGGGGGGAACCCUGAUCCAGCCAUGCCGCGUGUGUGAAGAAGGCCUUAUGGUUGUAAAGCACUUUAAGCGAGGAGGAGGCUCUUUUGGUUAAUACCCAAGAUGAGUGGACGUUACUCGCAGAAUAAGCACCGGCUAACUCUGUGCCAGCAGCCGCCGUAA